rnacentral:rRNA from 1 species
AAGCUAUUUAGGUAGCGCCUCGUGAACUCAUCUUCGGGGGUAGAGCACUGUUUCGGCUAGGGGGUCAUCCCGACUUACCAACCCGAUGCAAACUACGAAUACCGAAGAAUGUUAUCACGGGAGACACACGGCGGGUGCUAACGUCCGUCGUGAAGAGGGAAACAACCCAGACCGCCAGCUAAGGUCCCAAAGUCAUGGUUAAGUGGGAAACGAUGUGGGAAGGCACAGACAGCCAGGAUGUUGGCUUAGAAGCAGCCAUCAUUUAAAGAAAGCGUAAUAGCUC